CGCCUGGUCGCCUGCCCACUGGACUCUGCUGGCCGCGAAGCCCGCAUUUAAGCACAGGUGCCCCCUCCACUAGGAAGGGACAGCUAGCAUUCCGAGGCGACGGCGUGCCCCCUUCUGAUGACAGCAGGAGUUCCCAGGAAGUCAGACCUACCCAACAGGAAAUGGUAUUAGAUUUGGUGAAGAAAACUCUCAUAAUAAGAGCUCCUGAUCCAGACCCUGGGUCCUGACCACUAGGCUUCCAGGAAUUGUCAUUCCCUGGGUACCGAGAGCCACGUGGAGGAGGAAACCACCGGAGUUUAGAGGGAGGAAAGAUGGAAAGGCUACUUUCACCGAACCAGAGCUGGACAGAAGUUUGGAUCCUAUCCCUCACCUCUCUGGCUUUCAAACAGAUAGAUAAACACGUCACAGAGAAUGAAGGAAGCAAGGAAAGCUACCAUGUUGGGAGCCUCUGUUCACCGAAGAACU